CCAAGGAUGGAUUCCCAUGUUUUGAGGAACUGCGUGAGGAUAUGACUGGUUUUUGACUGGACCUUUGAAAUAGGGAAAUGGUUAAAAGAUAUAGGACGCAAGGUCCUGGUUGUGAUUAUUGUCAGAAUUUCAAGCUAGAUUAUAAUUUAUCUCAUGAAUUAAUAUGUAAGCAGUGUUUCCCAAUUCCUCCCGAUAUCCGAGCUAUGUACUCACAGGUGCGGGUAGUAUAAG